UGCGUAGGCGGAUUAAUAAGUCAGUGGUAAAAACCUGCAGCUUAACUGCAGACCUGCCAUUGAUACUGUUAGUCUUGAGUACGGUCAAGGUAGGCGGAAUGUGUAAUGUAGCGGUGAAAUGCUUAGAUAUUACACAGAACACCGAUUGCGAAGGCAGCUUACUGGGCCAUUACUGACGCUGAGGCACGAAAGCGUGGGGAGCGAACAGGAUUAGAUACCCUGGUAGUCC
rnacentral:rRNA from 1 species